GAAACAUAUACCUCCUCCUUUCUUUUUCUCAGAGUGUUCUUUCUUCCUGAUGUAUGGAGAAUCCCGCUGGCUGUAUGGAUGGAGACAAUAUAUCCAGAGAGAGCCAUGAGUAUGUUACAGUCCCUGAUGUCUCUCUGGAAGGAGCUCCUAGCCCUGAGCUCAUCAACUUUAUUGUCCAGGGACUGAACAUUGGCGAGUUAUAUACUCAGAAGAGGUGGAUGGUAUGCAUGCCUCCUGAGUCGGACUAAAAGCCCACUCCGUAUUCCUCUUCUCUGUCGGCAGAGUCUUGGAGCAGCCCCUGGGAAGAGUGGAAAUGCAUCGGGGGGUACGAACAAAGGAUCCAAUUCAGGAAAGUCGAAUUUCUGGUCUAAAUGCUGAUUCCAGUGGUUGAAACCGGCUGAGAUUUUAAGCAAAUGGCAUCUGGCUAAAGGUCACAGUCAGGGGGCCCAGUGGGUGAAAGGUUGAAUAACCUGAAGGAAAGUAGUGGUUCUUUCAGAGGGGAGAUGUUUAAUAGGUUUAGACGCUAGUUCUCUUUGUUUUAGUUUUCCAGAUACUACUCCAGGCUCCCCCUUAUCCUUGCCUGUGUUAUGUAUGACACUUCAAUGUUUAGCACUUGAUUUAUUUAAUUCACCAAGCACACCUUCUUGAUUGAGUACAGGUGUGUUACAGAUGUAGGAUCUUAAUUUGAUCACUCUUUUCUUGCUGAGAAUUGCAGAUGAGCUUCGUGAUUUACUUAAAUUCACAAAAAACCUGUAAUAACACACGGUUAUAUUAACAAUAUUGGACUUUUCAUGUAGCCUACUUUUGUCCAGCUAAUAGCUUAACCACUGAUCGAGCAACAAUAUGCACUAAACAUUCAAAUCCUUUUGCUGCAGGAUUAUUUUGCUAAAACAACACUGGUCAAAUUAAGAUCCUACAUCUGUAUUCACUCUAUCAAAGUAGCAUUUUGAUCACUUCAAAACAUCUGUGGAUCCUUCACCAUAAACUGUGUGGUAAUAUUACUUUCUGAUUAUUCAUGAUAAUCUGUUUAUUAUUUUGCUAGUUGUAGUUUUUAUUUGGUAAAAAUAAAUGUAAAAUGUUUA